AUUGAACGCUGGCGGCAGGCCUAACACAUGCAAGUCGGACGAGUGGCGGACGGGUGAGUAAUGUCUGGGCAACUGCCCGAUGGAGGGGGAUAACUACUGGAAACGGUAGCUAAUACCGCAUACCAUCGGAUGUGCCCAGAUGGGAUUAGCUAGUGGGGGGGGGAACGGCUCACCUAGGCGACGAUCCCUAGCUGGUCUGAGAGGAUGACCAGCCACACUGGAACUGAGACACGGUCCAGACUCCUACGGGAGGCAGCAGUGGGGAAUAUUGCACAAUGGGCGCAAGCCUGAUGCAGCCAUGCCGCGUGUAUGAAGAAGGCCUUCGGGUUGUAAAGUACUUUCAGCGAGGAGGCGUUACUCGCAGAAGAAGCACCGGCUAACUCCGUGCCAGCCGCCGCGGUAAUAC
rnacentral:rRNA from 1 species